GUAAGAUGAAAAGUUCGUGUAAAUAACUGGAAAUUAAAUAUUAUAUAAUUUCUACCACUGUAUCACAAACUGAAUUGUGUCUUUUACAUAUCACAUCUUAUGAGAAAAGUCCAAGACAGAAGCUCAGGAAAUGUGGAAGAAUGAAUCUUCAAGACAAAUGAAAUUGUGAAGGUGAAUUGAUGCUUGAAUAAAAAUUGCCAUUCUAUUGGGAAGAAAAUAUCUAUUGCUAAAAAUAAUUCCAAUUGCCUCUCAGUACUGUUUGAUAAACUAUUUAAUCAUCUACUCAGUGUAAACAAAUUGAAUAUUAUAAGCAUCGUACAAAAUUCUGGAGCCAUCAUGCAAAAGGUACCAGUACAUACAUGAUAAUCCUUCACUAAUGCUUGAUUAUUGAUUCUCUGAACUUAGUCCAACCAGAAUUUUCAAGUCCAACAAUAAGCAUUAGCAGUACGGAUGAAAAUGAAAUUCAACUGAACUGGUUACCCUGAAAUUACCAAAAUAAUCACAAUUCAGAUUAUCAUUUGGUUUUUUGAUUAUUUUACUUGUCCUAAAACCUGAGUUCAAUUUCCAUCGAAUGACCUUAUUUGCUAAAUGCCACAACAAAAGUUACAAAGACAUUUAACUAACUGACAAGUAGUUGGUUAUGAUGUUUUUCCUUUUCCUUCAUCUAUAAACAAGACAUGUAACUAGCUUGUCUAGAUAAUCAUUAUGAUCCUAAACUUCUAACUCUUCCCUAUUUACCCUCCCCCCUCCCAAUAUACAAAAAUGAAAAUAAAGCUGCUGCUUGCUCCUCCCUCAUCUAGGUU
rnacentral:misc_RNA from 1 species